AUACCAGCGUUAAUAUUUAAUUGUAAUGUUUUUUAUUUUCAACAGAAUAAUGACUGGUAUUCGUAAGUCCCCGGCGGACUUUGCAUCCUCCGAUCACCCGGAUACCAUUGCCAUGAGGGAUCUGGCCUCCAAGAACUAUCACAUUUGUGUAGAUGACGUCUACACAAAGGAGCAGAAAAUGGAGCACGCCUAUGCGUUUGGGGUGAUGGUCUGCAACCAGACCAUACGGUACACCGAGCAGGCGAAGGAAUCCGAGAAAGUGCACAGGAAGCAGCUUGAGUACCUGCGGAGGGAGGUCAAACGACUUGGACAGGAUCUCAGGACAUCCCAGGCCAGCUUGUCUGCCACACAAAACGGUAAAAAUGAAUGCAGAUUACCAACCAAAACAACUUAAUUACAUGAAGGCCUUCAGCCAACUCCCAACUACAGAACACUCAGACAUAUUUAUAUUAUGCCUAUGUGUUUUAAUUUGGUUGGAGAUUUCAAAUCUUAUGAUUUUACCCAUUAGACUAUAUUUACCAACUCAUUUAUUAACCUAGCUUACAAAAUGUGCAUCCCAAUCCAAAUGACGAUUACAAACGGAAUAUUAACAUGACUCUCAUUCCUAUCUAGAACUUGAUGACCUCCACUGCACGAACGCCUCCCAAGAAGUGAACGACCUGGACUGCACGACCGCCUCCCAAGAUACUGAUACCCCGCAAUUGUGUUCAACCAGAGACAACGAUGACAUCAUGGACGAGAACGGGAAUGGAGAUCUACUACCAAGCCCCUGAAAACGGAAACGGAGGACAAUGUAAAUGGAGUGUAAAUAGAGUGAUGUGUUAAGCGUGAAUAAAAAAUGAAAAACAUUUCAUAUUGUUUAUUUAUUACACUUCAUUUACACAAAUUGACAUCCAGAGGUGUCAAAAGUAUUCACAUUCAUUACUCAAGUAGAAGUAUAGAUACUAGCGUUUAAAAAUACUUCUUUAGAAGUUGAAGUA